rnacentral:rRNA from 1 species
UGAGUAACCUGCCCUUAACUCUGGGAUAAGCCUGGGAAACUGGGUCUAAUACCGGAUAUGACUCCUCAUCGCAUGGUGGGGGGUGGAAAGCUUUUUUGUGGUUUUUGGAUGGACUCGCGGCCUAUCAGCUUGUUGGUGAGGUAAUGGCUCACCAAGGCGACGACGGGUAGCCGGCCUGAGAGGGUGACCGGCCACACUGGGACUGAGACACGGCCCAGACUCCUACGGGAGGCAG